rnacentral:rRNA from 1 species
AUCAUUAUCGUGGGGCUUCGGCCCUCUCGAGAUAGAAACCCUUGCCUUUUCGAGUACCGUUUGUUUCCUCGGCAGGCCCGCCUGCCAAUGGGGACCCAACCAAACCCUUUGUAUAAGCAGUUUAUGUCUGAAAAUACAAGCAAACUAUUAAAACUUUCAACAACGGAUCUCUUGGUUCUGGCAUCGAUGAAGAACGCAGCGAAAUGCGAUAAGUAGUGUGAAUUGCAGAAUUCAGUGAAUCAUCGAAUCUUUGAACGCACAUUGCGCCCUUUGGUAUUCCUUUGGGCACGCCUGUUCGAGCGUCAUUUACCCCCUCAAGCUCAGCUUGGUGAUGGGCGUCUGUCCCGCCUCCCGCGCGUGGACUCGCCUUAAAAGCAUUGGCGGCCGCUACACUGGCUUCGAGCGCAGCAAAACGCGCCUUCGUCGCAGUGGAUCGGCUCCCAGAAGCCCCCUUUUUAUCAGUUUUGACCUCGGAUCAGGUGAGAAUACCCGCUGAACUUAAGCAUAUCAAUAAGCGGAGGAAAAGAAACCAACAGGGAUUGCCUCAGUAACGGCGAGUGAAGCGGCAUCAGCUCAAAUUUGAAAUCUGGCUCUUUCAGGGUCCGAGUUGUAAUUUGUAGAGGGAGCUUUGGCGUUGGCUGUGGUCUAAGUUCCUUGGAACAGGACGUCGCAGAGGGUGAGAAUCCCGUAUGUGGCCGCCAGUCUUCGCCGUGUAAAGCCCCUUCGACGAGUCGAGUUGUUUGGGAAUGCAGCUCUAAAUGGGAGGUAAAUUUCUUCUAAAGCUAAAUAUUGGCCAGAGACCGAUAGCGCACAAGUAGAGUGAUCGAAAGAUGAAAAGCACUUUGGAAAGAGAGUCAAAAAGCACGUGAAAUUGUUGAAAGGGAAGCGCUUGCAGCCAGACUUGCCUGUAGUUGCUCAUCCGGGCUUUUGCCCGGUGCACUCUUCUAUAGGCAGGCCAGCAUCAGUCCGGGCGGUUGGAUAAAGGCCUGCUAAAUGUACCUCUCUUCGGGGAGGACUUAUAGGGUAGGUGGCAUACAACCAGCCUGGAUUGA